rnacentral:rRNA from 1 species
GACGAACGCUGGCGGCGUGCCUAAUACAUGCAAGUAGAACGCUGAAGGAGGAGCUUGCUUCUCCGGAUGAGUUGCGAACGGGUGAGUAACGCGUAGGUAACCUGCCUGGUAGCGGGGGAUAACUAUUGGAAACGAUAGCUAAUACCGCAUAAGAGUAGAUGUUGCAUGACAUUUGCUUAAAAGGUGCAAUUGCAUCACUACCAGAUGGACCUGCGUUGUAUUAGCUAGUUGGUGGGGUAACGGCUCACCAAGGCGACGAUACAUAGCCGACCUGAGAGGGUGGUCUGCCACACUGGGACUGAGACACGGCCCAGACUCCUACGGGAGGCAGCAGUAGGGAAUCUUCGGCAAUGGACGGAAGUCUGACCGAGCAACGCCGCGUGAGUGAAGAAGGUUUUCGGAUCGUAAAGCUCGGUUGUAAGAGAAGAACGAGUGUGAGAGUGGAAAGUUCACACUGUGACGGUAUCUUACCAGAAAGGGACGCCUAACUACGUG